CCCUUAGUCAAUCUUCCAACGGCUGGAAACUAUUAAUCUCUCUUGACAUUUUUUAUCAACUGUCCCAUCUGUUCUAUUCUUUUGACAACAGCACUGCCCAAUAUUUCAUUCUUUGCUAUCUGCUUUUAGAAACAAGUUCUCUCCCAAUCUUCUUAGUUUGGGUUUCUUGCCCAUUGUUCUUCUGCUCUCAUAUCACAGUGAAUCGGUUCCUCAUUCUCUAGGUAAUUUCUCUCGCUAUUCUGUAGUGCCUCAUUUGCGGUAUUAUGGGCUUUUGUGUUUUUUUGUUUUCUGUAUGUGUUUGAACUCGAUCUUCUGGAAAUAUGGUUUCUUGCUCUGGAUAUCUCUGAUAAUUGCUCCAAUAACUAAGUAAUCAGUUGCAGUUGAAUGACAUUUCUUGAUUACUGUUAAUGAAUCGCCCAUUAUUUGUAUUUCUUGUAAACCCAUUUCGAUACCUAACUUGACUGCUUCUAACCCUGCAAAUGUUUCCGCGGCAAACAGAGAAGCAACAUUGCGAUGAAUAAUCGAUUUCAAAGCCAAUACCUCCUUCUUCAGACCCCUGACCACCAACCCCGACGAUGAUUUGAACUCUCUGUUGUUGAACACAACAUCAAACUGGAUCUUCACGGUCGGUAAGUCUUUCACAUUUCUUUAAUUUUGCACUGUAUGUGAUAAAGUCGACUUAACUUUAAUCCCUUUGUAUUCUGCCAUGUGGUUCUGAAUUUUUCGUGCAAGUUCUCUGCUCGUUGUGUGUACCCGUUCAUGCAAAAGUUGAUUCCUUGAAUGCCAAAGUAUCCAUAAGACAUAACAAAAAUAUCUGCAUUGUUCGUUUGUUCCUUAUUUGAAAACCACGGUGAGCCACUCCUAGAAAUUUUGAUGCACGAAAGUUGUGACCCAAGUAAGGUUUAAUAGCUGCCAGACCUCUAUGCUUGUGGAACAUUGCCGAAAAAUAUGAUGACAAUCUUCAUUUUCAUAACAUACCUAGGGCAUCUGGCAUUUGUCACUAAUCUUCUAUGCCGGAGAUUGCCCAAAGUAGGAAUGUAAUUCCAUGAAAUACGCCAGAUUAUGAUUGUAAUCUUAGACGGUAGUUGUAGUUUCCAUAGUUUCUAAAAAAUUUCUUGGUUUCGAUCUGUAACAAAUAAUGACUAGGAUUCAGAUUAACAAUUUGUAAUAGUUUAUAGGCGCUACGGACUGAGUAUUCCUCUGUUGGUUCGCCCCUCCAGACUUGGAAGUCCUCGUGCACUGAUUCCGAUAGUGGGAUCUGUAGGAUUGUGCGAGCAACCUCCGGGUGAAAGGUGUUGUUGAUCAGCUCUUCUUUUCAUUUCCUAGUUGUAGUAUCAAUAAGAUCCGAAACAAAUUCUAGUUGCAUACUAUCUAACUUGUUGUACCUUUUCAGUGAUUCCAUUUCUUGGACCCAUCGAUCAUUCCAGAUGGAUACUUUGUUCCCUUUACCGAUUCGCUAGCUUAGGCUUUGUUUAGCUGCCCAAAUGCUCUUCUAGGUAAGUGAAGGUAAAGUUCCUAAUUGAACCUCUAAGAAAGUCAAAUGCGAAUAAUAUUUUACUUUUAAAACCCUGACUAGUAAUGAAUUAGGAUAAUGAAUCGAAUGCCAUCUUUGUUUAGCAAGUAACGUAACAUUAAAUUGACUCAAAUUUCGAAAGCCUAGGCCGCCAUUCUCUUUUAAAAAACAAAGAUUUUUCCAAGUACACCAAUGAAUUCCCCUUUUCCCAUGUCCCUUCUGCCACCAAUACUUCGUUAUAAUAUUUUCAAGAUCAUCACAAAGGGAAUUAGGUAAUAGAAAACAUGCCAUCGUAUAAGUCGGAACUGCUUGAAGAAUUACUUUAAUAAAGACUUCUUUACCUCUUUGCGAUAAAAACUUGGUACUCUAAUUAUCAAUACGUUUUUUAAGGUGGUCCUUCAAAUUCUGAAAAGCUUUCUUCUUUCUCCUUCCCACCAUAUUCGGCAAUUCCAAAUAGCACUCUGUCUCGUUUGAACUUCGAACACCCAGUAAAUUGACAACCAUUUGCUUUUCUUCUUCUGAAGUGUUUUGCUGAAAAAUACAGUUGAUUUAUCAAAAUUCACACACUGCCCCGAACAAAGUUCGUAUUCUUCCAAUAUAUUUUUGAAUAGAUGCGCCCCUCUUCUUAUGGCUUCCUUAAAUAAGAUACAGUCGUCAGUAAAUAAAAGGUGUAAAAUCGGUGGACCAUUCUUGCUAACCUUCACUCCUCUUAGAAGUCCAUCCCAUUUUGCCAGCCGCAAUAGAUUGGAUAAUCCCUUACCACAUAAAAGAAAUAAAAAUGGGCUUAAUGGAUCACCUUGACAAAGUCCUCUAGUCGGUUGAAAUUUCUCUCCUCGAUGUCCGUUCAUGACCAUUGAAUAAGAAACAGUAGUAACACAUUGCAUAAUAGUAUCUACCCAUCUGUUUGCAAAACCCAUUUGAAUCAUUAUCUACUUUAUAAAUUCCCAUUCGAUCCUAUCAUAAGCUUUGCUCAUAUCGAGUUUAACUGCCAUGAACCCUUUUUUCCCCAUUCUUUUCUGCUUCAACGUAUUCAGGAUUUUGUAGGCUAACAGCACGUUGUCAAAUAUUAGUUUUUCUGGCACAAAGCGCUUUGUGCAGUAUCUAUACAUUUUCCAAUCACACGGUUCGCAAGAGUCUUUGCCAAGAUUUUAUAAAGAACAUUACAAAGACUAAUCGAACGAAAGUGCAUCAUAUUAGAAGGACUAGAAUUCUUCGGGAUUAGUACAAUAUUUGUAAAGUAAAAUGAUCUAACCUCUAUAUCACCGUUUAAAAGAUGUAAGUAGAAAUCGGCAACUUUAUCUCCAAUAAUGUGCCAGCAUUUCUGAUAAAACAGUCCUGGAAAUCUAUAUUCUCUCGGCGCCUUCGUAGAAUCCAUGUCAAACACUGCAAUUUGAAUUUCUUCUUUUGAAAUUUUUUUUGUUAAUUAUUUAUUAUCCUCCUCAUAUAUGCACCGUUCAAUACUUGAUAAAAAAUGGUCAUAAGGACCCCUUUGUUCUGUCGAAAAUAGUUGUUGAAAAUAAGAAUGAGCGAUUCCCUCAAUUUUCUGUAAGGUAUCCGUUUCCCUGCCAUUCUCAGUUUCCAACUUACGAAUACAAUUUUUCUUCUUACGUUGUGUUGCUUGGCUGUGAAAGAAUGCUGUAUUUUUAUCCUCAAAUUUCAACCAAUUUAGUCUGGCCCUCUGUUCCCAAUGCCGUUCAUCCUUCUCUAUUUCAAAAUUUAAUUGUAUUUUUGUAUCAAUCAACUCAGCUAAAUUAUUGUCAUCUCUAUCAGUAUCAUAUAGAUCUAAUAACUUAGCCGUAAAGCCUUCAUCUUCUUCUGUCGGUUCAUUUGAAUCUGUCCAGCCCAUUUGACUAAGCCCUUCUUCAGAUUUUCUAGCUUUUGCAUCAAGUCUCCUGAAGACAUCUCCCAAAUUUUAUUAACCUCACUAAGAAAAGAUUCAUCUAACACCCACUAGGCUUCAAAUUUGAAAAUUUUGUUCCUCAAUCUUCCCUUACAUUGUUUGUAUCAGUUAAAAGUGGAUAAUGGUCUGGAAAAGAAUGUACUAAAUGUUUCACUUUCACCUUCGGGAACAUGGAUAUCCAUCUCGCAUUGGCCACUCCUCUGUCUAACCGUUCUCGAAUAUUUGUCUCUGGAAGGUUGCCUCUUUCCCACGUGAACCAUCUACCAGAAUAUCCUACAUCAGACAUUUGACAAUCCUCCAGAGUUCUUCGAAAUAGAUCCAUUCUCCUUUCAUCCCUAGGUAUCUCUCUCUCUCUUUUUUUUUUCAGAUCCAUACAUUAUUUCAUUAAAAUCCCCAUAAAUAAACCAAGGGAUAUUAUCAACAACUUUUAAACUUCUCAAAACAUCCCACAAAUCAUUCCUGUCUUGUGCAUACGGGGACCCAUAAAAACCUGUAAAUCUCCAUUUGACUCCUAAUUCGCUAUCCUCAAUAUCCACAUCAAUGUACCUUUUUGAAUAAGAGCGAAGAAUGACCGAAACACCCAAUCUCCAUGCCAAACAUAAACCUCCUCUACUGCCCUCUGAAUCAACCUCAACACCAUUUCCAAAACCACAUUUUCGGUGCACCACUUCCAUCUGUCUCUUACCAAGCUUUGUCUCAAUAAAGAAGACAAUUUAGGGAUUAUACGUCUUCAAUAGAUGUCGAAGUCUAGGAAUCGUUCGUGGCCUCCCCAAACCACGGACAUUUUAACUUAAGAUUUUCAUUGCGCUCGGUCGGCUUGCCUCUUGGCAGCCGCCAAUGAUAAUUGGUUAGAUUCCAUCAAUCUCCUGCUCCUUACCAUUAAGCAGUCCAUAUCUUCUCUCUCCAAGAAGUCGUCCCUCGCUUCUCUAUUUCUCUUCUUUCCCUCUUCCCCAAUGAAGACACCUUCCUCCAAGUCAUACUCUAUCAUUGUUUGCAUCAAUUCUGACUGUAUAUUUUCCUUUUGAUUAUCAGAAGAUAAGGAUCCCCCUUUCAGAUUAAAACCCAAUACUGGAUCGAUAAUCUUUUUGCUCUUUCCAUUGUUAUCCACAUUCUAUAUUCGAUUAUUUGGGAUCCAAUUACUUCUCCUAUCCCCUUUACAACUCUCAUCAUUAUCUUCUCGAAGCUAGAUACUGUUCAUCGACAAGGCUCUACGUGAUUGGGCACGCAAAGACAGAUUCCACCCUAAUUCGGUAAUUUCCACCCCAAGCAACAUCUUAGCUUCACAAAACGAGCCGCUAUGCCCCAACUGACCACAGUAGAAACAGAACAGAGAUAAUCACUCAUACUUAAAUCUAACAUAUGAACAUUUUCCAUUGAACAUAACCUAUUUUUUCCUUUUCAAAGGUCGUCUGAUGUUAAUCUGGGCCUUUAUACGCAUGUAAUUACGAUUCUCCUUCCCCAAAUUUGCAUCAUCGUAUUCCAAAAAAUUCCCCAAGAAAUUACCCAAUUGUACUGCUAAUUUUUCAGAAAAUAAACCAACAGGGACAUCGUAAAUUUGGAUCCAAAAAGGGGUAAAUAUUAAUGACACCUUUAACGGGUCUUCCCCCAUUUGCAACUUAUAAAGAACCAACAAGUGAUUAUUAAAAGUCCAAGGUGAACCCUUUAUAACCCGCACCAUAUCAAUUAUGUGAAAAAAUUGGAAUAGGUACCUUUUAUCUCCUAGAUCCUGGAUCUGAACUCCACGAAUCGGAUGCCACAAAUUUGCCAUCGUGCUUUUCAUGGCUGGGAAGUGGAUUAUACUGGCCGUUAGAAAGCAACCUACUAGUUGGAAUUCACUCAUUUCUCUUCCUAUGAAUGAAUCCAUUGGAAUUUCCAAAAUUUAAUCCUCUUCUUCGUUAAGUGUCAGACCUGUUAAUUUAGUUUCCAUUGUUGUAGGUAUCGAACGCCAAACUAAAGAAUCCUUAAAUCAAGCAGGGACUAAAGGCUAAUUAGCAGAGCAAGACUUACAAAAAGAUGAAAGAAUGCCAAAAACAGAAGACAAAAAAAUAAGAAAACCUAGAUACUCAUGCCAGCGGCGGCAGACUUAGACUUGCUAGGGUAGCAGACUCUUCGUGUAUCCUUUAACUUAUAUACUUAAUCAAUUUAUUUAUUAAUUAUAGUUAACCUAAUUAAACAUAAUUAAAUAAAUUAAAUCUAAAUUAACACAUUUAGUGGAUUAAACUUCCACCACAAUUUGGUCAUAAUAUAGUGUUCUAAUUACUCAAUUGGUCCUUUAGCUAAUUAAAAUUUCAUAGUGAUUAAUUUUUACCACUUUUACAAUUUAGUUAUUGUAUCUUAAUUAACUAUCUAUUUGACAAAAUUAAGGGACCAAACUAUAAAUAACCUUUAUACUAACCUCGUAAAUAUUAUCAACUAUCGGAAAUGGAGUUCCGAAAUCGCUGUUUUCGACACCACUAAAAAACAGGUUGUUACAAAUUUGAUAAACACACAAGUUUAAAGGCUAAAAAAAAGCGAAAAAUUAAAUGGAAAACUAAAAUGACUUUUUUUUUGUAAUGUUGAAGAGACAAAAAGAAAAAAAAAAUUAGAUUAUUGGACUAGUAAAUAUAUGUGUAGAUAGUUGUUUGUCUUCAUUUGUAUACUCAAAUUCAUAACAACAUCCUAUUAUGGAAUAACUUAUAUUAUUAUAAAAGUUAAUUGCAUUAGAUAUUCCUAAACUAUGAUUUUUUAAAAUUGGUUUCCAAACUUCAAAAUGUUUUAAUUACAUCCUCAAACUAUCAAUAUUAUAACAAUCAUGUCCUAUUACUAAAACGGUUAAUUUAAUCAUUAAAUGACAUGUCAAAUCAUGUGUGGCAUAAUUUAAAACGAAAACUUUUAAAAAAAGUAGAACGUUAUUGCAUAAUUUUUAAAAAUUAAAAUUAAAAAUUAAAUAAAAAAGAAAUAGUGAAUGAUAAAGCUUUUGUAAAAGCUUCAAAAGCCUCUAAACUAGUAUUUUUACAUUUAUUAUUAUUAUUAUUAUCUCAUUAUAUGUUUUGAUGAUAUCUGCUCUUAUUGACAAAAUACUUAGAACUACCCAUAACUUCUCUCCAACUCACAAAUAGGAGGAUAAUGUGCUUCAACGCUCUCAAACUCACGUCCUCUUGCAUCGGCAAUAAUGUCCAUGCCAAUCGAGUUAAGACUUAAUCGACUUUCAAAAUAUUCAUUUCUCUUUAAAAAUUUCAUUUUAAACUAUGCCACAUAAGAUUUGACAUCUCAUUUAAUGGUUAAUUUAACUAUUUUAAUAAUGAAAUGACCUUAUUGAUAUAGCCUCGAUAAUUUAGGGAUUUAAUUAAGGAGCUUAAUAGUUUCUUAAAUUGAUAUCUUUAAUUUCACUCAUUGAAGAUUAUUUUUAGUUAAUAAAAUAUGAUUAAUAUAUUUUUCACGUGAAAUUUAAUCAUUUUAUUGAAAUAAUAUUUUAAUUAAGAUCAUUUUCAUUUAAUAAAUGAUGUUAAUAGGCUUGCUUAUAUGAAAUAAUUAUAUUUUUACUUGAAAUUUUAGAUCAUACAUUGUUAUGGAAAACUAAUUUAAUAAAAAAACGUACUUCAUAACUAUGUAUGUUAUUGUUAUAGGUGAAAAGCAGUUAUAGAAGGUUAAAAUAAAACAUAAAAAAUUGACUAUUCUAAAAAUUGUAUAAUGUAAUUACAAUUUAAUUUUGUUGAUACAAGAUUGCGGUUUGAAGGUUGGAGGUGGUUCAUUUAGAAGGCUAAGAGCCAUAAAUGACUAAGAAAAGUGAAGACAGGGAGAAAGAGAGAGCGUUUGGAGAUAGUUGAGUCGAGAGAGA
rnacentral:lncRNA from 1 species